CCAAUAGCGUAUAUUAAAGUUGCUGCAGUUAAAAAGCUCGUAGUUGAAUUUCGGGACCAAUAUGUCGGUCGUGCCUCGGUACGUACUGGCAUCGUUGGUUUCUCCCUUCUGAAGAACCAUGAUGUCAUUCAUUUGGUGUCGUGGGGAAUCAGGACUAUUACUUUGAAAAAAUUAGAGUGUUUAAAGCAGGCUCACGCUUG
rnacentral:rRNA from 1 species